GGGUUGUGAGGUUAAGCGACUAAGCGUACACGGUGGAUGCCCUGGCAGUCAGAGGCGAUGAAGGACGUGCUAAUCUGCGAAAAGCGUCGGUAAGGUGAUAUGAACCGUUAUAACCGGCGAUGUCCGAAUGGGGAAACCCAGUGCAAUUCGUUGCACUAUCGUUAACUGAAUACAUAGGUUAACGAGGCGAACCGGGGGAACUGAAACAUCUAAGUACCCCGAGGAAAAGAAAUCAACCGAGAUUCCCCCAGUAGCGGCGAGCGAACGGGGAGCAGCCCAGAGUCUGAAUCAGCUUGUGUGUUAGUGGAACGGUCUGGAAAGUCCGACGGUACAGGGUGAUAGUCCCGUACACCAAAAUGCACAGGUUGUGAACUCGAAGAGUAGGGCGGGACACGUGGUAUCCUGUCUGAAUAUGGGGGGACCAUCCUCCAAGGCUAAAUACUCCUGACUGACCGAUAGUGAACCAGUACCGUGAGGGAAAGGCGAAAAGAACCCCGGCGAGGGGAGUGAAAAAGAACCUGAAACCGUGUACGUACAAGCAGUGGGAGCACCUUCGGGUGUGACUGCGUACCUUUUGUAUAAUGGGUCAGCGACUUAUAUUCUGUAGCAAGGUUAACCGUAUAGGGGAGCCGCAGGGAAACCGAGUCUUAACUGGGCGUUAAGUUGCAGGGUAUAGACCCGAAACCCGGUGAUCUAGCCAUGGGCAGGUUGAAGGUUGGGUAACACUAACUGGAGGACCGAACCGACUAAUGUUGAAAAAUUAGCGGAUGACUUGUGGCUGGGGGUGAAAGGCCAAUCAAACCGGGAGAUAGCUGGUUCUCCCCGAAAGCUAUUUAGGUAGCGCCUCGUGAACUCAUCUUCGGGGGUAGAGCACUGUUUCGGCUAGGGGGUCAUCCCGACUUACCAACCCGAUGCAAACUACGAAUACCGAAGAAUGUUAUCACGGGAGACACACGGCGGGUGCUAACGUCCGUCGUGAAGAGGGAAACAACCCAGACCGCCAGCUAAGGUCCCAAAGUCAUGGUUAAGUGGGAAACGAUGUGGGAAGGCACAGACAGCCAGGAUGUUGGCUUAGAAGCAGCCAUCAUUUAAAGAAAGCGUAAUAGCUCACUGGUCGAGUCGGCCUGCGCGGAAGAUGUAACGGGGCUAAACCAUGCACCGAAGCUGCGGCAGCGACACUAUGUGUUGUUGGGUAGGGGAGCGUUCUGUAAGCCUGCGAAGGUGUGCUGUGAGGCAUGCUGGAGGUAUCAGAAGUGCGAAUGCUGACAUAAGUAACGAUAAAGCGGGUGAAAAGCCCGCUCGCCGGAAGACCAAGGGUUCCUGUCCAACGUUAAUCGGGGCAGGGUGAGUCGACCCCUAAGGCGAGGCCGAAAGGCGUAGUCGAUGGGAAACAGGUUAAUAUUCCUGUACUUGGUGUUACUGCGAAGGGGGGACGGAGAAGGCUAUGUUAGCCGGGCGACGGUUGUCCCGGUUUAAGCAUGUAGGCUGAUUGUCCAGGCAAAUCCGGAUAAUCAAGGCUGAGGUGUGAUGACGAGGCACUACGGUGCUGAAGUAACAAAUGCCCUGCUUCCAGGAAAAGCCUCUAAGCAUCAGGUAACAUUAAAUCGUACCCCAAACCGACACAAGUGGUCAGGUAGAGAAUACCAAGGCGCUUGAGAGAACUCGGGUGAAGGAACUAGGCAAAAUGGUGCCGUAACUUCGGGAGAAGGCACGCUGGUGUGUAGGUGAAGUCCCUGCGGAUGGAGCUGAGACCAGUCGAAGAUACCAGCUGGCUGCAACUGUUUAUUAAAAACACAGCACUGUGCAAACACGAAAGUGGACGUAUACGGUGUGACGCCUGCCCGGUGCCGGAAGGUUAAUUGAUGGGGUUAUCCGUAAGGAGAAGCUCUUGAUCGAAGCCCCGGUAAACGGCGGCCGUAACUAUAACGGUCCUAAGGUAGCGAAAUUCCUUGUCGGGUAAGUUCCGACCUGCACGAAUGGCGUAAUGAUGGCCAGGCUGUCUCCACCCGAGACUCAGUGAAAUUGAACUCGCUGUGAAGAUGCAGUGUACCCGCGGCAAGACGGAAAGACCCCGUGAACCUUUACUAUAGCUUGACACUGAACAUUGAGCCUUGAUGUGUAGGAUAGGUGGGAGGCUUUGAAGCGUGGACGCCAGUCUGCGUGGAGCCAACCUUGAAAUACCACCCUUUAAUGUUUGAUGUUCUAACGUUGGCCCCUGACCGGGGUUGCGGACAGUGUCUGGUGGGUAGUUUGACUGGGGCGGUCUCCUCCCAAAGCGUAACGGAGGAGCACGAAGGUUAGCUAAUCCUGGUCGGACAUCAGGAGGUUAGUGCAAUGGCAUAAGCUAGCUUGACUGCGAGCGUGACGGCGCGAGCAGGUGCGAAAGCAGGUCAUAGUGAUCCGGUGGUUCUGAAUGGAAGGGCCAUCGCUCAACGGAUAAAAGGUACUCCGGGGAUAACAGGCUGAUACCGCCCAAGAGUUCAUAUCGACGGCGGUGUUUGGCACCUCGAUGUCGGCUCAUCACAUCCUGGGGCUGAAGUAGGUCCCAAGGGUAUGGCUGUUCGCCAUUUAAAGUGGUACGCGAGCUGGGUUUAGAACGUCGUGAGACAGUUCGGUCCCUAUCUGCCGUGGGCGCUGGAGAAUUGAGGGGGGCUGCUCCUAGUACGAGAGGACCGGAGUGGACGCAUCACUGGUGUUCGGGUUGUCAUGCCAAUGGCACUGCCCGGUAGCUAAAUGCGGAAGAGAUAAGUGCUGAAAGCAUCUAAGCACGAAACUUGCCCCGAGAUGAGUUCUCCCUGAGACUUUAAGUCUCCUGAAGGAACGUUGAAGACGACGACGUUGAUAGGCCGGGUGUGUAAGCGCAGCGAUGCGUUGAGCUAACCGGUACUAAUGAACCGUGAGGCUUAACCUUACAACGCCGAAG
rnacentral:rRNA from 1 species